UACAGAGGGGGCAAGCGUUGUUCGGAAUUACUGGGCGUAAAGGGCGCGUAGGUGGCCUGUUAAGUCGAACGUGAAAUCCCCGGGCUCAACCCGGGAACUGCGUCCGAUACUGGCAGGCUUGAAUCCGGGAGAGGGAUGCGGAAUUCCAGGUGUAGCGGUGAAAUGCGUAGAUAUCUGGAGGAACACCGGUGGCGAAGGCGGCAUCCUGGACCGGUAUUGACGCUGAGGCGCGAAAGCCAGGGGAGCAAACGGG
rnacentral:rRNA from 1 species